AUCACUUCUUGGCCUUUUGGCUAAGAUCAAGUGUAGUAUCAGUUGAAGUCUUGGCAUGUCCUCUCUUUGGGGACUGUAGCCUGCCCUGGCAGCAGGCUAGGCUCAGUGACCUCCUAGCUCUUUUUUGUCUGUGAGUACCUCAU
rnacentral:snRNA from 1 species